GAUCCUCUUCCUUCCCCAGAGACACCACUCUCAAGAAUCUGAUAAUCAAGCCUGGGAGAUAUGUCACCAGCAGAUCUUUCCUAAAAGAAACUUCUGAAGAAUCUAUGUCAAAAUGAGGAAAAAUGAUACCAGAAAGAAGGUCUGAGAUGCAGGAAAAAAUGGCAGGGGCUCAUUGAUCCAUCAAACUGGAACCCUGACCCUGGGC